AGCAUGAUGGCCGAGUGGUUAAGGCGUUGGACUUAAAUUCCAAUGGACAAGCGUCCACGUAGGUUCGAACACCACUCGUGCUA
rfam:Octopus bimaculoides Scaffold237431_contig_1, whole genome shotgun sequence.